rfam:Ixodes scapularis strain Wikel colony gcontig_1107729021306, whole genome shotgun sequence.
UGCAGUAAUGCAAACCAGCUCGGGGACGCCAAUGCGAGCCCCGGGAAGAGUUUUCUUUUGUCUGUAAGGAGUCCCUGGAAUGAGUUCACCUCGAGAUAGGGAUGGUGGCUCCGUAGGGCAGUGCGGCUCUUGCGCUGUCUGGUGCGCUCGCCUCGGCCCUUGAAGACAGUG